rnacentral:tRNA from 1 species
AGAGAGAUGUCUGAGUGGUUGAAAGAGCAGACCUGGAAAGUCUGUAUACGGGAUGACCGUAUCGCGGGUUCGAAUCCCGCUCUCUCUGCAA